rnacentral:rRNA from 1 species
UCCUGGCUGUAAAGGAUGCGGGCUAGGUGUUGCUUGGACUUCGAGUCCAAGCAGUGCCGCAGGGAAGCCGUUAAGCCCGCCGCCUGGGGAGUACGGCCGCAAGGCUGAAACUUAAAGGAAUUGGCGGGGGAGCACUACAAUGGGCGGGACAAUGGGACCCGACCCCGAAAGGGGAAGGAAAUCCCCUAAACCCGCCCCAGUUCGGA